CAAGGACAGAAGGUGCCUGUAGCGUGUUAAAAAAUGAUAAGCUUAGAGUCAUGUCUACAAAUGCUUGCAGUUUAGGGAAUAGGAUCCAUGAACUUGUGGCAAUAAUGGCAACUGAUAAUGUAGAUUUAGUCGCUGUUACUGAGACAUGGUAUAAUGAGAAAAAUGACUGGGACAUAGCAAUACCAGUGUACUCUUUAUAUAGAAAAGACAGGGAAGGCAAGAAAGGGGAGGGGUGGCCCUGUAUGUAAAAGAUAGCAUAAAUUCUAGC